AAACUUUCAACAACGGAUCUCUAGGUUCUCGCAUCGAUGAAGAACGCAGCGAAAUGCGAUACGUAGUACGAAACGCAAGUCGUGAAUCAUCGAAUCUUUGAACGCACAUUGCGCUGCGAGGCAUUCCUCGCAGCAUGCCUGUUUGAGCGUCCUUU
rnacentral:rRNA from 2 species